rnacentral:rRNA from 1 species
GUCUACGGCCAUGCUACCCUGAACAAGCCCAAUCCCGUCUGAUCUCGGAAGCUAAGCAGGGUCGGGCCUGGUUAGUACUUGGUUAGGAGACCAGCUAGGAAGACCAGGUGCUGAAGGCA